rnacentral:rRNA from 1 species
UACAGAGGGGGCAAGCGUUGUUCGGAAUUACUGGGCGUAAAGGGCGCGUAGGCGGCCUGUUAAGUCGAACGUGAAAUCCCCGGGCUCAACCCGGGAACUGCGUCCGAUACUGGCAGGCUUGAAUUCGGGAGAGGGAUGCGGAAUUCCAGGUGUAGCGGUGAAAUGCGUAGAUAUCGAGAGGAACACCUGCGGCGAAGGCGGGUUGCUGGGCUGACACUGACGCUGAGGAGCGAAAGCGUGGGGAGCGAACAGG